AGUAUUCUGCUCUUCUUUCUAUUGACCUCUUUGUCAUAAGUGGCAAAACCUGCCACUUACAUAUUUCUUGGGUAACCAGCUCCAAGUCUUCUGGUUUUUUUUUUCUGGAUACUCAAUAGUAUUUUACCUCUGACUAUUAUGCUGACAUAAUGCAUGUUUGGUUUCACAUGCAAUAUUGCUACACUCACUUUGGGAUUUUAGAGAAGCAAAGAAAGGACAUCCAGAGGUCAUGUGCAGGAUUUUUCCUGCCAGGCCAAAAAUAGAAGCAAACUGCUCUUUGGUUAGAAGUAAUGGAAAUUGCCUCAAUACUUCACUUUUAAAUGGGCCAAGGGAGACACACAUUCUUUUAACUGAGCACUAAAUUUUAAUUAAAAACAUUUGUAGUGUAGGAAACAGAACUGUGCCUAGGAAUUGUCUCAGCAAGCCUGUGAGAUUUGGUUUGGUACUGAGUGUUGCUGCAAGAGAAGGCGGUCUUCUCAUCCUCUACAGAUGCAGGGAAGACUUCUGAUUCUACAGAUUAUCAUUAUACGUUUUUAACAAUUUACUCUCUGUUCUUUCCCCUGGUGUGUGUCUGUGCAGUCACAUAUUGCAGGCUUUCCACCUCUGCUACUGUCUUCAUCCUUAUUGAUCUGAUGAACACUCCAUUUGUAGUGACAACUGUAUCCCAUUGAUCAUCUCUGACAGUUACUCUAUUGCCUCGGUGUGUAUAAUUGAAAGCCAGACAUCUCUUCUCUAAGUGAGAAACGCGCUUUCAGCUGGCCAGCUGUUGUCUUAUGACUGAAAAGUGACUUCAUGUUGGAAAACAAGGUAAUUUGUCUCUGGUAUUUGUAUUGUUCAGGCCUAGCAAUGGGGACAAAGGCCUUGGCCUCCUGCCACUUCCUCCUCUUCAAGGACAGUGAAAAACUGAGGGGGAAUUUGAGUGUAUGCACAGCAGUAGGGUUUGUUUUCCAAGGUUUAAAGUUUGUAUUCAUUUAUUUAUCUCUUUGGGUUGGGGUCUCACUGUUCAGGCUGGCUCUAAAUAAUCCUUCUGCCUCAGCCUCCAGAAUAGCUGGGGCUACAGAUGUGAGCCCCAGGCCCACCAAAAGUAUUUAACAUAAGAACAUUAAUAUUUCUUGUUUAAUGCUUAAACAUUAUUAUGUUUAUUUUCUUUAUUUUCUUUAUGGCUGAAUAAUUAGUGGAAUUUUUGAAAGUGCCUUGGAGAUUGGAAGAGGAAAAACAAGCAAGGUCUUUGCAAAUGGUGAAUCUAGCUGCCCUGUGAUGACCUGGGGACUCUGGUGGAGAAGAUGGGUUGAAGAGAAAGCGCUGACGUGAUGUCAGAAGCAGCUGCAGUUCCGAGUGGCUGCAGCCUCAAGUGCUGUUGUUUUGGAAACACUGAAAACUCACGGGCCUCACAGAGCUCUGUGUUGCAAACGAGGCAAGGAUAGAUCAGAAGCCCUGGCUUGAUUCUCUGGUGUUCCCACCCCUAGCCGGUAAGGUCAUGCUGUAUUUUCUAUAUUCAGGUUAAAGACCCCACCUGCUUGCCUACCCCUACACCACGAUGUGAUGGCUUUGUGACUCCCUUGAGAUUGAUCUUGAGUAACUUACAGUCCUUUGGUUCUACUAAAAAUCAGAAAGAUUAUGUUUCCCAUCUCCAAGUAGUUAGUCUCUAAAACUGUUUUCAUAUCUUUUCAGAGAAUAGAUCUGAAAACAAUUUAUCAUUCCAUUCUUUAUGCACAUUGCAAAAGUAUACUUUAGGGAAGCUAUGUCUAAAUUUUUUUUGUGUUUUUGUCUGUGCAAUGGUAUAUUUUAUUUAAAUUUUGUCUUUUUUUCUUUUAUGAUGAAAAGAUAUUCAUUGAACGUGUUCAUUUAUAUGUUUUUUUUUUUUUUUACAAUUGAACAAGGAUUCUACAGUCAGCACAUAAACAUUUACAAAUCUUAAAUUAAUGCUGCCUUAUAUGGAAGGCCUCUGAUUUCCUCUCCUUCUGUCAAUUUGCUGUGUGAUCCCACAUUCCCUUUAGCACCUGGACAUUUCUCCCAGAAGCAGAGGUGACGUCUCCUGUUGGCCUGUGUCAGGGUGGUUCUGGAGCCUGACAAGCAGUGUGUGGCAGGAGGGGAGGAGCCCUGAGGGGGAUGGGGAGGAUGGAUAGGCCUGGCUUUCUCCCUGAAGCAACUGUGUCAGGAGCCUUUAUUUUUGAGCCCAAAUUGGUCUUCUGGCAGUGUAGUCAAAACCUGAAGAACACUGUGAAGCCCGGGGAAGUGGCUGCUGGCCUGCCUUCUGCUUUCAGUCCUGCUGUACCACAGGGCCAGCCACUGACAGCACAGACACCAGGUGCUGGCAACUGUGCAGAGCAAUGAUACCAAAAUAUGAGGCCAUUUUAAGAAUUGUCGGUUACUAGCGAUACAUCUGAGCAGCUUACAUUUUCUUCUUCCUUAGGAGGCUGAUAGGGGAGGGGAGUGUGGGCGAUAUGCACUGACAGGUGCUAGCCUGGAUGUUAACUUCCUGUGACAGUUCUGAUGCCACUGUUUGUCAACAAACCUUUCGGCUGGGGUGCUGGUACACAGGAUGCCUUUUACCUAGAUAUAAUACAGUGCUGUGCUUUUAAUUUUACUUAGAAACAAUAAAUGCAAAGGACUUCGUUUCCACACCCCACCUCCUCGGUGCCCCUCAAACAGUGCCCGGUCCACCCCCGGCCCAGCCUCUCGGGGCCUGGCGAGCGCGCAGAGCCUGCGUCCUUCUCGCCCGCGUCACCU